rnacentral:rRNA from 1 species
CUACGGGUGGCAGCAGUGGGGAGUAUUGGACAAUGGGGGAAACCCUGAUCCAGCAAUGCCGCGUGUGUGAAGAAGGCCUGCGGGUUGUAAAGCACUUUCGGUUGGGAGGACUGCUUCUAGCACUAAUAUUGUUGGAAGUUGACGUUACCUUCAGAAGAAGCACCGGCUAACUCCGUGCCAGCAGCUGCGGUAAUACGGAGGGUGCAAGCGUUAAUCGGAAUUACUGGGCGUAAAGCGCGCGUAGGCGGCUAGAUCAGUCGGGUGUGAAAGCCCCGGGCUUAACCUGGGAACUGCAUCCGAUACUGUCUAGCUUGAGUACAGGAGAGGAGAGUGGAAUUCCACAUGUAGCGGUGAAAUGCGUAGAUAUGUGGAGGAACACCAAUGGCGAAGGCAGCUCUCUGGCCUGAUACUGACGCUGAGGUGCGAAAGCGUGGGGAGCAAACAGGAUUAGAUACCCCAGUAGUC